rnacentral:rRNA from 1 species
CACACGACUCUCGGCAACGGAUAUCUCGGCUCUCGCAUCGAUGAAGAACGUAGCGAAAUGCGAUACCUGGUGUGAAUUGCAGAAUCCCGUGAACCAUCGAGUCUUUGAACGCAAGUUGCGCCCGAGGCCAUCCGGCCGAGGGCGCGCCUGCCUGGGCGUCACGC